rnacentral:rRNA from 1 species
GACGAACGCUGGCGGCGUGCUUAACACAUGCAAGUCUAGGGGGCCCAGCAAUGGGUCACCGGCGAACGGGUGCGUAACACGUGAGCAACCUGCCAUCCGGCGGGGGAUAGCCGGCCUAACGGCCGGGUAAUACCGCAUACGCCCUCGAGCUCGCAUGGGCUUGAGGAGAAAACUGUCGCGCCGGGGGAGGGGCUCGCGUCGUAUCAGCUUGUUGGUGGGGUAACGGCCUACCAAGGCUACGACGCGUAGCUGGUCUGAGAGGAUGAUCAGCCACAUUGGGACUGAGAUACGGCCCAGACUCCUACGGGAGGCAGCAGUGGGGAAUAUUGCGCAAUGGCCGAAAGGCUGACGCAGCGACGCCGUGUGUGGGAAGAAGGCCCUCGGGUUGUAAACCACUGUCAGGAGGGACGAACGCUCGGCUUGACCGAGUUUGACGGUACCUCCAGAGGAAGCACCGGCUAACUCCGUGCCAGCAGCCGCGGUAACACGGAGGGUGCAAGCGUUGUCCGGAUUCACUGGGCGUAAAGCGCGCGUAGGCGGCCAGGUAAGUCAACUGUGAAAUCCCGGGGCUCAACCCCGGGGCUGCAAGUGAUACUGCCUGGCUAGAGCUCGGUAGAGGCAAGUGGAAUUCCCGGUGUAGCGGUGGAAUGCGUAGAUAUCGGGAAGAACACCAGUGGCGAAGGCGGCUUGCUGGGCCGAUGCUGACGCUGAGGCGCGAAAGCGUGGGGAGCAAACAGGAUUAGAUACCCUGGUAGUCCACGCCGUAAACGAUGGGUACUAGGCGUCGGGGGGAGCGACCCCUUCGGUGCCGUCGCUAACGCUAUAAGUACCCCGCCUGGGGAGUACGGCCGCAAGGCUGAAACUCAAAGGAAUUGACGGGGGCCCGCACAAGCGGUGGAGCAUGUGGUUUAAUUCGAUGCAACGCGAAGAACCUUACCUGGGCUUGACAUGUACGUGAAAGCUGGUGGAAAACUUGGUGCCUUCGGGAAUUGAGUGACAGGUGCUGCAUGGCUGUCGUCAGCUCGUGUCUGGAGAUGUUGGGUUAAGUCCCGCAACGAGCGCAACCCUUGUCCUUAGUUGCCAGCGCGUAAUGGCGGGAACUCUAAGGUAACUGCCGGUGACAAACCGGAGGAAGGUGGGGAUGACGUCAAGUCAUCAUGGCCCUUAUGGGUAGGGCUACACACGUGCUACAAUGGCCGGUACAGAGGGUUGCCAACCCGCGAGGGGGAGCCAAUCCCAGAAAACCGGUCGUAGUCCGGAUCGGAGUCUGCAACUCGACUCCGUGAAGUCGGAAUCGCUAGUAAUCGCGAAUCAGAAUGUCGCGGUGAAUACGUUCCCGGGCC